GAUGAACGCUGGCGGCGUGCCUAAUACAUGCAAGUCGAGCGAACGGACGAGAAGCUUGCUUCUCUGAUGUUAGCGGCGGACGGGUGAGUAACACGUGGAUAACCUACCUAUAAGACUGGGAUAACUUCGGGAAACCGGAGCUAAUACCGGAUGAUAUUUUGAACCGCAUGGUUCAAAAGUGAAAGACGGUCUUGCUGUCACUUAUAGAUGGAUCCGCGCUGCAUUAGCUAGUUGGUAAGGUAACGGCUUACCAAGGCAACGAUGCAUAGCCGACCUGAGAGGGUGAUCGGCCACACUGGAACGGAGACACGGUCAAGACGACUACGGGAGGCAGCAGUAGGGAAUCUUACGCAAUGGGCGAAAGCAUGACGGAGCAACGCCGCGUGAGUGAUGAAGGUCUUCGGAUCGUAAAACUCUGUUAUUAGGGAAGAACAUAUGUGUAAGUAACUGUGCACAGCUUGACGGUACCUAAUCAGAAAGCCACGGCUAACUACGUG
rnacentral:rRNA from 1 species